GUCGGGAGUUAAGAAAUGCAAGGAUGUUAAUAGCGUUCUUGCUUGACUAAGGCUCCGGAGGAAGCCACGGCUAACUCUGUGCCAGCAGCCGCGGUAAUACAGAGGCGGCAAGCGUUGUUCGGAAUUAUUGGGCGUAAAGAGCACGUAGGCGGCUGUGUAAGUCGGUUGUGAAAGCCUUCCGCUUAACGGAAGAACGGCAUCUGAUACUACAGGGCUUGAGUACGGGAGGGGAGAGUGGAACUUCUGGU
rnacentral:rRNA from 1 species